AACUCCCAAUCCAGGGUUCUUUAAGACUACCCAGCUCCUGAAGGGCUCUGACUGGAUUUAAUUGGAAGAAAUGCAUCAAUCCCCGAAGAGAAUGUUCUGGGGGGCAGCAAAGGCAGGAAGAUCUCAGCCACGGACCUUGAGCCCCCAACCCGUGGGCUUCCCAGAGAGACUGCAGGUUGGCUGCCAACACCCUGAAGACAGCAAGGCUGCCCAGUCCCCCAAGGCCUGCCAAGGACAGAUUUCUACCUGCAACGUGGACCUGGAGAGUCAUUCUCGAACAAAGGAACCCCAGAGGCCUGAACUUACUCAGAAUUGACUUCUGAGUCCUUCUAUUAUUGGGACUGACAUUUGGAGUAGGAAAGAAAUGAAAUGCUGGCCAAUUUUACAAACAUGUUUGAAAUUCUACUUAUUCAAAAAAGAAUGAACUCCAAAAUCUGCUGCUUACAUGACCUUAUUAGGAAAACAAAUUGCC